rnacentral:rRNA from 1 species
GACGAACGCUGGCGGCGUGCCUAAUACAUGCAAGUCGAACGCAGUGGGGACGGGUGAGUAACACGUGGGUAACCUCCCAUCAGAGGGGAUAACACUUGGAAACAGGUGCUAAACCGAUACUGAUGGAUGGACCCGCGGUGCAUUAGCUAGUUGGUGAGGUAAAGGCUCACCGAGGCCACGAUGCAUAGCCGCCUGGAUAGUGUGAUCGGCCACACUGGGACUGAUACACGGCCCAGACUCCUACGGGAGGCAGACGGAGGGACUCUUCGGAAAUGGACGAAAUUCUGACCGAGCAACGCCGCGUGAUUGAAGAAGGUUUUCGGAUCGUAAACCUCUGUUGUUAGAGAAGCGGUAUCUAACAAGAAAGCCACGGCUAACUACGUGCCAGCAGCGGCGGUAAGUC